GGACCCGCACAAGUAGUGGAGCAUGUGGUUUAAUUCGAAGAUACGCGCAGAACCUUACCAACACUUGACAUGUUCGUCGCGACUUUAAGAGAUUAAAGUUUUCGGUUCGGCCGGACGAAACACAGGUGCUGCAUGGCUGUCGUCAGCUCGUGUCGUGAGAUGUUGGUUAAGUCCCGCAACGAGCGCAACCCUCACUUUUAGUUGCCAUCAUUUAGUUGGGCACUCUGAAAGAACUGCCAGUGAUAAGCUGGAGGAAGGUGGGGAUGACGUCAAGUCCUCAUGGCCCUUACGUGUUGGGCUACACACGUGCUACAAUGGCCGGUACAGAGGGCAGCCACACGCAAGGUGGAG
rnacentral:rRNA from 1 species